rfam:Ipomoea nil DNA, scaffold: scaffold1313, cultivar: Tokyo-kokei standard.
UCCGUUGUAGUCUAGUUGGUUAGGAUACUCGGCUCUCACCGAGAGACCGGGUUCAAUUCCCGGCAACGGAA